AACUCUUAACGGGGGAUCACUCGGCUCGUGGGUCGAUGAAGAUCGCAGCUAACUGCGUGUCGGUAUGUGAAUUGCAAGGCUACCAGAUACAUCGACAAAUCGAACGCACAUUGCGGCGGCGGCUCGCAAAAGACAGCUGCCGUCACUCCUGCACGAGGGUCU